rnacentral:rRNA from 1 species
GAUGAACGCUGGCGGCGUGCCUAAUACAUGCAAGUCGAGCGAAUGGAUUAAGAGCUUGCUCUUAUGAAGCUAGCGGCGGACGGGUGAGUAACACGUGGGUAACCUGCCCAUAAGACUGGGAUAACUCCGGGAAACCGGGGCUAACACCGGAUAAUAUUUUGAACUGCAUGGUUCAAAAUUGAAAGGCGGCUUCGGCUGUCACUUAUGGAUGGACCCGCGUCGCAUUAGCUAGUUGGUGAGGUAACGGCUCACCAAGGCAACGAUGCGUAGCCGGCCUGAGAGGGUGAUCGGCCACACUGGGACUGAGACACGGCCCAGACUCCUACGGGAGGCAGCAGUAGGGAAUCUUCCGCAAUGGACGAAAGUCUGACGGAGCAACGCCGCGUGAGUGAUGAAGGCUUUCGGGUCGUAAAACUCUGUUGUUAGGGAAGAACAAGUGCUAGUUGAAUAAGCUGGCACCUUGACGGUACCUAACCAGAAAGCCACGGCUAACUACGUGCCAGCCGCCGCAGUAA